AACGAACGCUGGCGGCAGGCUUAACACAUGCAAGUCGAGCGGGCCCUUCGGGGUCAGCGGCGGACGGGUUAGUAACGCGUGGGAACGUGCCUUCUGCUCUGGAAUAGCCCUGGGAAACUGGGGGUAAUACCGGAUGUGCCCUGAGGGGGAAAGGUUUAUCUGGCAGGAGAUCGGCCCGCGUCUGAUUAGGUAGUUGGUGUGGUAAUGGCGCACCAAGCCGACGAUCGGUAGCUGGUUUGAGAGGAUGAUCAGCAACACUGGGACUGAGACACGGCCCAGACUCCUACGGGAGGCAGCAGUGGGGAAUCUUAGACAAUGGGGGCAACCCUGAUCUAGCCAUGCCGCGUGGGUGAUGAAGGCCUUAGGGUCGUAAAGCCCUUUCGCUGGGGAAGAUAAUGACGGUACCCAGUAAAGAAGCGCCGGCUAACUACGUGCCAGCAGCCGCGGUAAUACGUAGGGCGCAAGCGUUGUCCGGAAUUAUUGGGCGUAAAGAGCUCGUAGGCGGUUUGUCGCGUCUGCUGUGAAAGCCCGGGGCUCAACCCCGGGUCUGCAGUGGGUACGGGCAGACUAGAGUGCAGUAGGGGAGACUGGAAUUCCUGGUGUAGCGGUGAAAUGCGCAGAUAUCAGGAGGAACACCGAUGGCGAAGGCAGGUCUCUGGGCUGUUACUGACGCUGAGGAGCGAAAGCAUGGGGAGCGAACAGGAUUAGAUACCCUGGUAGUCCAUGCCGUAAACGUUGGGCACUAGGUGUGGGGGACAUUCCACGUUUUCCGCGCCGUAGCUAACGCAUUAAGUGCCCCGCCUGGGGAGUACGGCCGCAAGGCUAAAACUCAAAGGAAUUGACGGGGGCCCGCACAAGCGGCGGAGCAUGCGGAUUAAUUCGAUGCAACGCGAAGAACCUUACCAAGGCUUGACAUUCACCGGACCGCCCCAGAGAUGGGGUUUCCCUUCGGGGCUGGUGGACAGGUGGUGCAUGGUUGUCGUCAGCUCGUGUCGUGAGAUGUUGGGUUAAGUCCCGCAACGAGCGCAACCCUCGUUCUAUGUUGCCAGCACGUGAUGGUGGGGACUCAUAGGAGACUGCCGGGGUCAACUCGGAGGAAGGUGGGGAUGACGUCAAAUCAUCAUGCCCCUUAUGUCUUGGGCUUCACGCAUGCUACAAUGGCCGGUACAAAGGGUUGCGAUACUGUGAGGUGGAGCUAAUCCCAAAAAGCCGGUCUCAGUUCGGAUUGAGGUCUGCAACUCGACCUCAUGAAGUCGGAGUCGCUAGUAAUCGCAGAUCAGCAACGCUGCGGUGAAUACGUUCCCGGGCCUUGUACACACCGCCCGUCAAGUCACGAAAGUUGGUAACACCCGAAGCCGGUGGCCUAACCCCUUGUGGGAGGGAGCCGUCGAAGGUGGGACUGGCGAUUGGGACU
rnacentral:rRNA from 1 species